rnacentral:rRNA from 1 species
UAGGGAAUCUUCGGCAAUGGACGAAAGUCUGACCGAGCAACGCCGCGUGAGUGAAGAAGGUUUUCGGAUCGUAAAACUCUGUUGUUAGAGAAGAACAAGGAUGAGAGUAACUGUUCAUCCCUUGACGGUAUCUAACCAGAAAGCCACGGCUAACUACGUGCCAGCAGCCGCGGUAAUACGUAGGUGGCAAGCGUUGUCCGGAUUUAUUGGGCGUAAAGCGAGCGCAGGCGGUUUCUUAAGUCUGAUGUGAAAGCCCCCGGCUCAACCGGGGAGGGUCAUUGGAAACUGGGAGACUUGAGUGCAGAAGAGGAGAGUGGAAUUCCAUGUGUAGCGGUGAAAUGCGUAGAUAUAUGGAGGAACACCAGUGGCGAAGGCGGCUCUCUGGUCUGUAACUGACGCUGAGGCUCGAAAGCGUGGGGAGCAAACAGGA